UCAGAACCAGCUCUGGGCUCCUAGUGCGCUCUGGGUCUCCAUCUGGUUUGGGGGCUAUUUUGAUCCACCGGAUGCAGAGCAGCCGCCGAGAUCUGGGACUGGGUGGCUAGAGCGGCGCCUUUAUUUACAGAAGGACAAUUUAAAAACUAACGUCAAGCCCAGAGAACAAAUAAAUAAUUCCUCUUUCUGUUCAUAAUGCUCUCUCUGCCUGUUUCUACAGGAGAAGUUCUGCUCUCUCUCACACUGCUGGUUGAGAAGUGGCUCUCAGCUACCCAAGGUGCAGAACAGCUAGGAGGGACUAGGGUAAGAAGGAGGAGAGAGGAUGCUUUGUCUUCCUUCUCUCCCU
ensembl:lincRNA Gm28215 predicted gene 28215